CGGUCUUCGACGUAGUCGUACGAGUAGUAGUACGUCGUCGCGCAGAGACACGCUGGCGGCGUGCUUAACACAUGCAAGUCGAACGGACGCACCCUGAAGGUAGUUUUCGGACACGGAUGGGAAUGCUUAGUGCGGACUGGUGAGUAACGCGUGAGGAACCCGCCUUCCAGAGGGGGACAACAGUUGGAAACGACUGCUAAUACCGCAUGAUGCGUUGGAGCCGCAUGACUCUGACGUCAAAGAUUUAUCGCUGGAAGAUGGCCUCGCGUCUGAUUAGCUAGUUGGUGAGGUAACGGCCCACCAAGGCGACGAUCAGUAGCCGGACUGAGAGGUUGGCCGGCCACAUUGGGACUGAGGUACGGCCCAGACUCCUACGGGAGGCAGCAGUGGGGAAUAUUGGGCAAUGGACGCAAGUCUGACCCAGCAACGCCGCGUGAAGGAAGAAGGCUUUCGGGUUGUAAACUUCUUUUAAGGGGGAAGAGCGGAGGACGGUACCCCUUGAAUAAGCCACGGCUAACUACGUG
rnacentral:rRNA from 1 species